rnacentral:rRNA from 1 species
CCAUUUGAGUGAGUGGCGAACUGGUGAGUAACACGUGGGAAACCUGCCCAGAAGCGGGGGAUAACACCUGGAAACAGAUGCUAAUACCGCAUAACAACUUGGACCGCAUGGUCCGAGCUUGAAAGAUGGCUUCGGCUAUCACUUUUGGAUGGUCCCGCGGCGUAUUAGCUAGAUGGUGGGGUAACGGCUCACCAUGGCAAUGAUACGUAGCCGACCUGAGAGGGUAAUCGGCCACAUUGGGACUGAGACACGGCCCAAACUCCUACGGGAGGCAGCAGUAGGGAAUCUUCCACAAUGGACGAAAGUCUGAUGGAGCAACGCCGCGUGAGUGAAGAAGGGUUUCGGCUCGUAAAACUCUGUUGUUAAAGAAGAACAUAUCUGAGAGUAACUGUUCAGGUAUUGACGGUAUUUAACCAGAAAGCCACGGCUAACUACGUGCCAGCAGCCGCGGUAAUACGUAGGUGGCAAGCGUUGUCCGGAUUUAUUGGGCGUAAAGCGAGCGCAGGCGGUUUUUUAAGUCUGAUGUGAAAGCCUUCGGCUCAACCGAAGAAGUGCAUCGGAAACUGGGAAACUUGAGUGCAGAAGAGGACAGUGGAACUCCAUGUGUAGCGGUGAAAUGCGUAGAUAUAUGGAAGAACACCAGUGGCGAAGGCGGCUGUCUGGUCUGUAACUGACGCUGAGGCUCGAAAGUAUGGGUAGCAAACAGGAUUAGAUACCCUGGUAGUCCAUACCGUAAACGAUGAAUGCUAAGUGUUGGAGGGUUUCCGCCCUUCAGUGCUGCAGCUAACGCAUUAAGCAUUCCGCCUGGGGAGUACGGCCGCAAGGCUGAAACUCAAAGGAAUUGACGGGGGCCCGCACAAGCGGUGGAGCAUGUGGUUUAAUUCGAAGCUACGCGAAGAACCUUACCAGGUCUUGACAUACUAUGCAAAUCUAAGAGAUUAGACGUUCCCUUCGGGGACAUGGAUACAGGUGGUGCAUGGUUGUCGUCAGCUCGUGUCGUGAGAUGUUGGGUUAAGUCCCGCAACGAGCGCAACCCUUAUUAUCAGUUGCCAGCAUUAAGUUGGGCACUCUGGUGAGACUGCCGGUGACAAACCGGAGGAAGGUGGGGAUGACGUCAAAUCAUCAUGCCCCUUAUGACCUGGGCUACACACGUGCUACAAUGGAUGGUACAACGAGUUGCGAACUCGCGAGAGUAAGCUAAUCUCUUAAAGCCAUUCUCAGUUCGGAUUGUAGGCUGCAACUCGCCUACAUGAAGUCGGAAUCGCUAGUAAUCGCGGAUCAGCAUGCCGCGGUGAAUACGUUCCCGGGCCUUGUACACACCGCCCGUCACACCAUGAGAGUUUGUAACACCCAAAGUCGGUGGGGUAACCUUUUAGGACCCA